UUUGAGGCUUGUCAAGGAUAAGACUGAGAUUUCCUGGCUGAGCUGCAAUUGCCAGAUCCAAGUUCAUCCACAGGUUAAGUGCCUCUUGAGCUCCUCAAUCUGUUGGGUGAAAGCCUGCUUGCCUCUUGACAGCUGAGAAAUCUGAGCAUCUUUCUCCUCCACCUGGCGUGAGUAUUCCCCUGAGAGAGGUCAGAUGAGUAAAGGAGCCUUUUAAUGACUUACUGAAAAGUGUCAACCUUGAUAAUUAAAUGCAUAUAAAAAUA